UCUCUCUUCUCUUAAGAGAGAGAAAUUUCUCUCGACCCCUCUUAUCAAAAUUCCAUCUUUCAGAGGGGGAGAGAUUGAGCUGAGCAUUUUUUGUCUAUAAAAUAGUUUGAUCGUCGAUGUUAUACUUCUGCUUGCGGAUUCCAGUUUGCGUUGGCGAUUGUGCUUUGGUUUAGCCGAAUUUUGUUGUGACUUUUCAAAUCAAAUUGAAGCUGUUCUUCAAGUAUUUUGUUUUUUUCUUUGGUUUGAUUUGAAUAAAUAAAGUUUAGGUCUUUUGAUCGGAUUUUGGGGUUAGCUCUCUGUAUUCCAGGAGAUAUUAGUGUAGAUCUCUGG
rnacentral:lncRNA from 1 species